GACGAACGCUGGCGGCGUGCUUAACACAUGCAAGUCGAGCGGUAAGGCUCCUUCGGGAGUACACGAGCGGCGAACGGGUGAGUAACACGUGAGCAAUCUGCCCUUCACUUUGGGAUAACCCCGGGAAACCGGGGACGUAAUACCGAAUGCGACCACCGAUGGCAUCGUCUGGUGGUGGAAAGUUCCGGCGGUGAAGGAUGAGCUCGCGGCCUAUCAGCUUGUUGGUGGGGUAACGGCCCACCAAGGCAUUGACGGGUAGCCGGCCUGAGAGGGUGACCGGCCACACUGGGACUGAGACACGGCCCAGACUCCUACGGGAGGCAGCAGUGGGGAAUAUUGGACAAUGGGCGAAAGCCUGAUCCAGCAACGCCGCGUGAGGGAUGACGGCC
rnacentral:rRNA from 1 species